rnacentral:rRNA from 1 species
UUUAAAUUGAGAGUUUGAUCCUGGCUCAGGACGAACGCUGGCGGCGUGCCUAACACAUGCAAGUCGAGCGAUGAAGCUUCCUUCGGGGAGUGGAUUAGCGGCGGACGGGUGAGUAACACGUGGGUAACCUGCCUCAAAGAGGGGGAUAGCCUCCCGAAAGGGAGAUUAAUACCGCAUAACAUUAUUUUAUGGCAUCAUAGAAUAAUCAAAGGAGCAAUCCGCUUUGAGAUGGACCCGCGGCGCAUUAGCUAGUUGGUGAGGUAAGGGCUCACCAAGGCGACGAUGCGUAGCCGACCUGAGAGGGUGAUCGGCCACAUUGGAACUGAGACACGGUCCAGACUCCUACGGGAGGCAGCAGUGGGGAAUAUUGCGCAAUGGGGGGAACCCUGACGCAGCAACGCCGCGUGAGUGAUGAAGGUUUUCGGAUCGUAAAACUCUGUCUUUAGGGACGAUAAUGACGGUACCUAAGGAGGAAGCCACGGCUAACUACGUGCCAGCAGCCGCGGUAAUACGUAGGUGGCAAGCGUUGUCCGGAUUUACUGGGCGUAAAGAGUAUGUAGGUGGGUGCUUAAGUCAGAUGUGAAAUUCCCGGGCUUAACCUGGGCGCUGCAUUUGAAACUGGGCAUCUAGAGUGCAGGAGAGGAAAGUGGAAUUCCUAGUGUAGCGGUGAAAUGCGUAGAGAUUAGGAAGAACACCAGUGGC